rnacentral:misc_RNA from 1 species
GAAAUGCGAUAAGUAAUGUGAAUUGCAGAAUUCAGUGAAUCAUCGAAUCUUUGAACGCACCUUGCGCUCCUUGGUAUUCCUUGGAGCAUGCCUGUUUGAGUAUCAUGAAAUCUUCAAAGUAAAUCUUUUGUUAACUCAAUUGGUUUCUACUUUGGUAUUGGAGGUCUUUGCAGCUUCACACCUGCUCCUCUUUGUUCAUUAGCUGGAUCUCAGUGUUAUGCUUGGUUCCACUCGGCGUGAUAAGUUAUCUAUCGCUGAGGACACUGUAAAAGGUGGCCAAGGUAAAUGCAGAUGAACCGCUUCUAAUAGUCCAUUGAAUUGGACAAUACUUUUAUGAUCUGAUCUCAAAUCAGGUAGGAAUACCCGCUAAACUUAAGC